GUGGAACUCAUUGGUUUAAUCAAUCUCAAUAUAAUCUAUUUUUGCCCCUUCUGCUUUAUUUUCUUGUAAGUAGAGACUCCUUUCUAAGAGUUCCUGGAAAGAUGGGGGGCGGUGCUGGAUUAAGUAAAUGAGUAAAACCAGAAACUCUUCUUAAAGACCAAAAAAGACUCAGAAAAUACUAAUGUGGGCCAAUUGGUAGCUAAUAAUGCCUUACAGACAAAGAAUAAACAACUGGCAAAUCCCAAAUCCCACAGAAUGCAAAGAAAAUCUAUUUCUUUUGAUUUAAUGUUGUUUUAGCAGAUGGAACUGCAAGAGAUUCAAAUGCAACCUCCCUGACUUUUUGCUGCUCUGUAGUUUACCACUGCUUCAUUGCUAAUGCUCACUGUGGAUGAGAGGGUGCCUAUAAACAUUAAAAAGAAGAAGAGAUAAGGAGCUUGCUUUGCUCUAGUAUGCAAGAAAAUGCUUUAUUGUCUGUAGAAACCCCCUUUCAUUUCCAAGAACCUUCCUGUGUUUCAUUGCUUUGGAGGCUCUAGGCCAGGUUUCCAGCUCGCCUCCGUUCAUAGGAGCUCUCAAAUGAGCCGGCUAUGCAAUUUACAUUUGUGAGAAUGCGUCCCUGUAUGUAAAGUACCAGCUGUAUUACACAUGUCUUACAGCUGCCUUGUGUCUGAUAAGUGAUGAAGGGAAGAAUGGAAGUGGAACAAACAUUGAUAGCCAGUCAUAUCUGAAUACCUGUAUAAUUACAUAAUUACAAAUACGAAUUAUAAAUAAUAUCUGAAUAAUUUUACCUGUGGGUAAAAUUCAAUGAGCUGAGCUUGGUCAACUUCUGGAUGCUUUGUCAGGUAGCUGAAAGGCUCAUACAUAUAUAGAUGAAUGUCUGUCAGACCUGCUUCCUUUUUGUGGCAACCAGGAAUGCUUCUAUAGCUCUAAUGUCACAAAUGCAAUGUGUGCUGCUCAAGGUUAAGCUGUUCUUGUCACAGAAAGCUGCUAGGUGUCUUGUAAGGGGGUGUUCCUGGAGAAUUGAUUUCAGUAGGACUGAAUUUCAGAGCUGGUCUGUGUGGACAUACUGAUUGGCAAUUCAGUUUUUCCUGCCUGCUUGCUGAAGACAUCGCUGUGAUAGAGCUGUCUGCUCCUCAGAAAAAUGCUGCAGAGAAGUAUGAUUUUGAAUUCUGGAUAAACUGAAAAAUCAGUUCUGCCUGGCUUUCACUGAAAAGUAUUAGCAUUGCUGGAAGGCCACAUUUCUCAGGGCAAGGACUUAGCAGCAG
rnacentral:lncRNA from 1 species